GACGUAGGGCGCAAGCGUUGUCCGGAUUUAUUGGGCGUAAAGAGCUCGUAGGCGGCUCGUUGCGUCGGCUGUGAAAACCCGCAGCUCAACUGUGGGCUUGCAGCCGAUACGGGCGGGCUGGAGUUCGGUAGGGGAGACUGGAAUUCCUGGUGUAGCGGUGAGAUGCGCAGAUAUCAGGAGGAACACCGGUGGCGAAGGCGGGUCUCUGGGCCGAUACUGACGCUGAGGAGCGAAAGCGUGGGGAGCGAACAGG
rnacentral:rRNA from 1 species